GACACGGUCCAGACUCCUACGGGAGGCAGCAGUAGGGAAUCUUCCACAAUGGACGCAAGUCUGAUGGAGCAACGCCGCGUGAGUGAAGAAGGGUUUCGGCUCGUAAAGCUCUGUUGGUAGUGAAGAAAGAUAGAGGUAGUAACUGGCCUUUAUUUGACGGUAAUUACUUAGAAAGUCACGGCUAACUACGUGCCAGCAGCCGCGGUAAUACGUAGGUGGCAAGCGUUGUCCGGAUUUAUUGGGCGUAAAGCGAGUGCAGGCGGUUCAAUAAGUCUGAUGUGAAAGCCUUCGGCUCAACCGGAGAAUUGCAUCAGAAACUGUUGAACUUGAGUGCAGAAGAGGAGAGUGGAACUCCAUGUGUAGCGGUGGAAUGCGUAGAUAUAUGGAAGAACACCAGUGGCGAAGGCGGCUCUCUGGUCUGCAACUGACGCUGAGGCUCGAAAGCAUGGGUAGCGAACAGGAUUAGAUACCCUGGUAGUCCAUGCCGUAAACGAUGAGUGCUAAGUGUUGGGAGGUUUCCGCCUCUCAGUGCUGCAGCUAACGCAUUAAGCACUCCGCCUGGGGAGUACGACCGCAAGGUUGAAACUCAAAGGAAUUGACGGGGGCCCGCACAAGCGGUGGAGCAUGUGGUUUAAUUCGAAGCAACGCGAAGAACCUUACCAGGUCUUGACAUCCAGUGCAAACCUAAGAGAUUAGGUGUUCCCUUCGGGGACGCUGAGACAGGUGGUGCAUGGCUGUCGUCAGCUCGUGUCGUGAGAUGUUGGGUUAAGUCCCGCAACGAGCGCAACCCUUGUCAUUAGUUGCCAUCAUUAAGUUGGGCACUCUAAUGAGACUGCCGGUGACAAACCGGAGGAAGGUGGGGAUGACGUCAAGUCAUCAUGCCCCUUAUGACCUGGGCUACACACGUGCUACAAUGGACGGUACAACGAGAAGCGAACCUGCGAAGGCAAGCGGAUCUCUGAAAGCCGUUCUCAGUUCGGACUGUAGGCUGCAACUCGCCUACACGAAGCGGAAUCGCUAGUAU
rnacentral:rRNA from 1 species